CUGUGUCUAAAUGCCUGAAGCCAUAACAACAGACGGGGAAAUGCUCGGAUUAGAAAAGUCAGUAAAUUCCACCUCACAUUGUCAAAUUAGCAGUCAUGAACUCGGCCAUGUUGGUUCGCGGCGGGGUCGGUUGAGAGAAGAGUGCGUCUCAGCCAAGCCCCCACAAUGCCUCUCUAAAAAUGGUCCCAACCCGGAAGUAAGAAAAAUUGCAUUUCCACCCUCAUCCGCUGGGGGCUGGUCUCAGAAGCGAGCAAAUCCUCAUUGACUCCCAUGUUAAAAAUGCCAUUUUCACAGCAGAAAUAAACAUGUUUACAGCCCGGUUCCAAAAAUUGUUUUUUGUCUAAAUUAUCUAGUUUAUACUCAUGACAACUCUGAGGGGGGUGAAUUUUCUUCUCACUCUUCUGUUUAAGUGUAUUGAAAGCCUAAAAUUCUGUAUAAUUAAUGAGCAUCCGACACACGUGACCGCCGCCUCAGACCCACGUGACCACAUAGCUAGUUCCGUGGAAAGGCCUCAGUACAGCCUCGGUCUCUCCUGGAAACUGUGUGGGGAUUUUGAGUCUCUGUGCUUGUGAAUUCUGUUUUGGAUAUUAUUGGUGCAAUUGUUGGACAAAAUGACUUGCUGUGGUAUUAAUUGCACUAAUAGAACGUCCAAGGAGUCUCCACUUCAUUUUUUUCGGGAAGGACCUGAUUGGUGUCCAGAACCUGCUGAAGAAGCACCAGGCUCUGCAGGCUGAGAUCACAGGUCAUGAACCUCGCAUAAAGGCUGUCACCCAGAAAGGAGACACCAUGGUGGAGGAAGGUAGAGCAGGUCUGGUCCUGACAUGUUUCUGAGGUGUCUGCAGGUUCUGGCUCACUUUUUUUGGGUCCAGGUCACUUCGCUGGUGAGGAAGUGAAGACUAAACUGUGGGAGCUUCAUGGACGUUGGGAGACGCUGAAGGCCAAGGCGUCCCAGAGGAGGCAGGACCUGGAGGACUCUCUGCAGGCCCAGCAGUACUUUGCGGAUGCUAAUGAGGCCGAGUCCUGGAUGAGGGAGAAGGAGCCCAUCGUUGGAAGUCCAGACUAAGGGAAAGACGAGGACUUGGCCGAGGCUCUCUUGAAGAAGCACGAGGCCCUGAUGUCGGACCUGUCGGCUUACGGCAGCAGCAUCCAGGCCCUGAAGGAGCAGGCCCAGUCCUGCAGGGUGAGUUCAGAACCCUCGGCCCGUCAGAACAUUCUUAUCCACCACGUUCUAACACCAGACCUGUUAACCCGACAGCAACAAGGUAAUCAGCAGGUGCUUUUGUCCUGCAGGACCUGAAGGCCAACGAGUCCCGCCUGAGGGACAUCAACAAGGUGGCAUCUGAACUGGAGUCAGAAGGUCUGAUGGCUGAGGAGGCUCCUAUGGUUCAGGCUCAGGUGAGCGUCACCUGUCUGCAGCAGCUGGUCCCUCUCACUUCCUGGUUUAACUCUGCUCGUCUCUGUUUGUAGCAACAAGAACAUCUGGGUUCUGCUCCUGGAAAGGUGCAUGUUGUCCUCCGCCUCCACCAGAACCAGACGUGGUGUUUUUGUUACCACUCAUUUGUUUG